rnacentral:tRNA from 1 species
UUAGCUUAGUUGGUAGAGCACCCGCUUAGUAAGCGGGAGGUCGUCGGUUCAACUCCGGCA